rnacentral:rRNA from 1 species
CACGUAGGGGGCGAGCGUUGUCCGGAUUUAUUGGGCGUAAAGAGCUCGUAGGCGGUUUGUCACGUCUGCUGUGAAAACUCGGGGCUUAACUCCGGGCCUGCAGUGGGUACGGGCAGACUAGAGUGCGGUAGGGGAGACUGGAAUUCCUGGUGUAGCGGUGAAAUGCGCAGAUAUCAGGAGGAACACCGGUGGCGAAGGCGGGUCUCUGGGCCGUAACUGACGCUGAGGAGCGAAAGCGUGGGGAGCAAACAGG